UCAGGAUGAACGCUGGCGGUAUGCCUAAUACAUGCAAGUCGAACGCAUUCUCGUUUUAGAUUGACGGUGCUUGCACCAGAUUGAAAAGACAUUUGAAUGAGUGGCGGACGGGUGAGUAACACGUGGGUAACCUGCCCAAAAGUGGGGGAUAACAUUUGGAAACAAAUGCUAAUACCGCAUAAAAGUUAGAACCGCAUGGUUCUAAUUUGAAAGAUGGUUUCGGCUAUCACUUUUGGAUGGACCCGCGGCGUAUUAGUUAGUUGGUGAGGUAAUGGCUCACCAAGACAAUGAUACGUAGCCGAACUGAGAGGUUGAUCGGCCACAAUGGGACUGAGACACGGCCCAUACUCCUACGGGAGGCAGCAGUAGGGAAUCUUCCACAAUGGGCGCAAGCCUGAUGGAGCAAUACCGCGUGAGUGAAGAAGGGUUUCGGCUCGUAAAACUCUGUUGUUGGAGAAGAACGUAUGUGAUAGUAACUGAUCAUGUAGUGACGGUAUCCAACCAGAAAGCCACGGCUAACUACGUGCCAGCAGCCGCGGUAAUACGUAGGUGGCAAGCGUUAUCCGGAUUUAUUGGGCGUAAAGCGAGCGCAGGCGGUUUUUUAAGUCUGAUGUGAAAGCCCUUGGCUCAACCAAGGAAGUGCAUCGGAAACUGGAGAACUUGAGUGCAGAAGAGGACAGUGGAACUCCAUGUGUAGCGGUGAAAUGCGUAGAUAUAUGGAAGAACACCAGUGGCGAAGGCGGCUGUCUGGUCUGUAACUGACGCUGAGGCUCGAAAGCAUGGGUAGCGAACAGGAUUAGAUACCCUGGUAGUCCAUGCCGUAAACGAUGAAUGCUAGGUGUUGGAGGGUUUCCGCCCUUCAGUGCCGCAGCUAACGCAUUAAGCAUUCCGCCUGGGGGAGUACGACCGCA
rnacentral:rRNA from 1 species